rnacentral:lncRNA from 1 species
AUUUGCAUGGUGCUUUUGACUGGAGCAUCGGGGAGGUCCAGCCUUGCUGUGCAGUCAGAGAUAGCGCAGUGAUGUGUGUCCUCUCCUCCCUCACCCCACGUCUGGCGGUUGCCAAAGCUAUGUGAAAAGAAAUGGAUAUACAGAAGAACACUUUCAUUUGUUGUUAUGUCAAGUGAAGAUGUAACAUGAGCAACAUAAGGAUGUUUACUGAUGCGGGGGCCACCAGGCACAGAGUGCUGGAAUUUUGCUUAAAGGAAGCAAGCCAGAUGGGAAGAGAAAAGAAAUCCCAAGCUGUCAAGUGUCACAUCGCUACAGAAGAAUGACAUGUUCUGAGUGAAUCUGCAGAAACAUCCCACUAGUGACUGUCCACCAGCAUUGCCUGCAGGGUCCCAAGGAACCCCAUAGGGACAGCAAGCAACUUUCAGCUACAAAUCUUCAAAUCUGAAGUGCUACUACCAGCCUGUCUUCUCAGGUAGAUAAUCACCAAUUUUAAAACAAAUUAUAUUAUUCUCCCACUCCUAAAUUAAUGUACCGAUGUGGUUUAGAUUCUGGGGAGCUGUGCUGUCUGUCACUUGUGUGCAUUAUUGAAGUCUAAACACUGCACUCAAAAUUAUAACACGAUUAAACUUUG